rnacentral:lncRNA from 1 species
UUCUAUGAUAUAUAAAUAUGCAUAUGUAUAUAUAUAUAUAUAUAUUAAUGAGAGCCAUAAUCUUUUUCUCGAUGAACGUCGAUUUUUAUCGAGCAUUAUGACGAGUUUGUAAAUGCGUAGGAAACGGACGUAAAUAUAUAAGUGUAUGCAUAUAUAUACACGUGUACCAGAUAUGAAGACAACGUGUUUCUUCUUUUUAGACGUUAAAAUUCAUCGGUUAAGUUUUCCAAUGCGGAAAUAGUUAUAUUUAAACUUCGGACGAGACGAAGUGUCCAUGAGAAGACGAUGAAGUAAAGUAGUAUCCUGUCUCCUAACAAGUUCAUCUUCGACAUCCGAGUGAGCUGGAGAAUCCAUUGGUGUAUAAAAGUUACGUGGCGGUUCGAUCGAACUGUAUUGAUGUGGAUCCGCGGUGGUAGCUUGAAUGAGAGGUGCUCUUUCUGCGUUUGACAUGUCUGCAAAAAAUUUAAUAAUAAAAUAUAGAUAUUGUAUGUGUAUUAAUUUCAAAUUUGUGGUUUGAAUAAAAUAUUGUAUUCGGGUUUAAUUAACUGAACUGACCAGUUACUACCAAA